rnacentral:rRNA from 1 species
GGGUGAUCUGCCCUGCACUUCGGGAUAAGCCUGGGAAACUGGGUCUAAUACCGGAUAGGAGCCAUUUUUAGUGUGAUGGUUGGAAAGUUUUUCGGUGUAGGAUGAGCUCGCGGCCUAUCAGCUUGUUGGUGGGGUAAUGGCCUACCAAGGCGGCGACGGGUAGCCGGCCUGAGAGGGUGGACGGCCACAUUGGGACUGAGAUACGGCCCAG